rnacentral:piRNA from 1 species
UGCCACUUAAGGCCAAAAUUGCUGGGA